GUAUGCCUGAGAAACACAUAAUAUUGGUCUUUAAAGCCAGCGCUUAUUUAAAUCAAUCUCUUUUGCUGCAGGCCUGUGAAGGAAAUUUUAUAAAUGAUUAACUGAAUCCAGUCUUGUGUUUUUAUACUUUCUGAUCAUCAUCAACAAAAGCUGGUUACAUUCUGAUGUUAAAGUUGUCACGUUCAGCGAUGGAACCUGGAAGAGCCUGAAGAGAGACGAUGAAGGCUCUGAGGUCUGUCUGCUGUGAAACUGAGUGGAGUCAGAAACAAGAAUAAAGUUGUGAGAAAAAUCCAA